rnacentral:misc_RNA from 1 species
AAUAACAUGUUGGAUGUUAUCUUCAUUGUUAAAUCCCCAGAGCAAUGGCAUCGAAAAAACCUAGAGGAAAAUAGAAGACAUUAUUCCUUCCUGAAAGUGUUUGGCCCAAGAUCAAUUUCUCGGAUUCAGGAUGGCACGGGAGCUGUGUUUAUUUCAAACACAUUGGUACCAUGGGAAAACAGGCUUAUCAAGUAUGGCGUGAUCAGUCGGCAUCGGUUUGUGCAGGACAUGCUGGAUUGGGACACUCUUUACAUUAGUGGCAGGCUUCAUAAACCAGUGCUGUGGUUGAAGGACACACGGCUGAACAAGGUAAACACUGCCGUCCACGUAAACCUACAGAGCGCCGUCCACACUGCCCUCCUUAUGCUGCCGGAGUGCUUCAACGAACAGGAUCUAUUCCUCAGCAUCGCUGGCAUCAGUUACUCGGGGGACUUCAGAAUGACAGUGGGAGAGGAUAGAGGCAAAGUAAAGAACAUCGUUGGCCCCAAUCUGCACCGGUUUCGAGAACUGUAUGAGAAUAUUCUAGACAACAUGCAGCACCUGCAUUGGAACAAAAGCAUCGCGUCAUUCGAGCAAUCCAACGACCAUAGCUGCCUGUACCAUCACCUCAGUCUGCUGCCGAAAACUAUGCAGCUGCUCAUUUGGGAGCAUAUCAAUAAAGAUGGCCGCCAUCGGGACCUAGAGGAGAGUCUGAUGUCUGUCUCACACGACUACGAGUGCAGCUACAUAGUAGCCAACGCCAUCACGAGGAUAGUGCAGCGAUCCAGCCUCACGCAGAGUGUGAAGGGAAUUUUCACGGCAGGAAUGGUGAAGUCAAUGAAAUACAGUGGGCAGAAGUUAAAGAAGAUGGCAAAGAGUUUAAGGAGUUGACAGUCAGUAUCUGAGUGCCAACAACAACAAAUUAGUGAAAGUAUCAGCAGAACACCUUACCGGCAAUAACAGGAGUUUGAGGGUGUGCAUGAGUCAUCAAUGCUGGUAGUGCCAUGUAGCCAAGUCUGCAUUGUACAGAUAGCCUCUCAUCAUUUGAUGGCGAUAUCAGAGCAUUGCCUCGCUGAUGCAUGCUAAUGAUCACCACAGUCAAGUCGCCUGUGUCUUCUAUAAUUUUAUUGCACAGUUAUCAUGCAUGAGGUUAGUAAUAAGCUGAUAAUAAUCAGUUUAGCGUGCUUUAUGUGAUGAGAAAUAGUACGAAUCAAACAGUGUAAGAAAUUAUGAUACUUUUGCAUGAACGUGGAAAGAAUAUAACAAGAUCCUCAUACAUUUGUUUUGUAAAUAAUCUAGAUUUACUUAGGUAAUCGUUUAAUAUGAUAUGUAUAGCAAUUGUUAUCUGUGAACAUUUUAAGUAAAACUUGUAUUGUACACCUUAGAAACUGGAGUGUAUGGAUUUGUGGUUCGUUCAACAAGCCAAACUAGCUUUGUUAGAAGUUCAGUAAUUAUUUUCAUCUAAAUAAUUCACACAGUUCACAAACUUUCUCUUAGACGCUGGCAGGGGCAUAGGUUGAGGCAGGUCUCCUCUUUGUAAAUGUAAAAUUGAUGGCUGUACAGUACCUAUGAGGGCUAUAAAGUGAAUAUAUACAUAUUCA